rnacentral:rRNA from 1 species
CCCUUAGAUGUUCUGGGCCGCACGCGCGCUACACUGAUGCAUUCAACGAGUCUAAAACCUGGUCUGAUAGGGCUGGGUAAUCUUUUGAAUGUGCAUCGUGAUUGGGAUAGAUGAUUGCAAUUCUUCAUCUUCAACGAGGAAUGCCUAGUAAACGCAAGUCAUCAGCUUGCAUUGAUUACGUCCCUGCCCUUUGUACACACCGCCCGUCGCUCCUACCGAUUGAAUGUUCCGAUGAAUACCAUGGACUGAGAGUAUGAAUGGGUUCGCCUAUUUCUGCUUCUCGGGAAGUGGAGUAAAUCUUAACAUUUAGAGGAAGGAGGAGUCGUAACA